AGACAAUAGAUACCCGGGUAGUCCACGCCCUAAACGAUGUCGACUGGUUGUUGGGGGUUUGACACUCUCAGUAAACGAAAGCUAAACGCGUGAAGUCGACCGCCUGGGGAGUACGGCCGCAAGGUUAAAACUCAAAGGAAUUGACGGGGACCCGCACAAGCGGUGGAUUAUGUGGAUUAAUUCGAUGCAACGCGAAAAACCUUACCUACCCUUGACAUGUCCGGAAGGCUGCUGAAAGGCGGCUGUGCCCGAAAGGGAACUGGAACACAGGUGCUGCAUGGCUGUCGUCAGCUCGUGUCGUGAGAUGUUGGGUUAAGUCCCGCAACGAGCGCAACCCUUGUCAUUAGUUGCUACCCGCAAGGGAGCACUCUAAUGAGACUGCCGGUGACAAACCGGAGGAAGGUGGGGAUGACGUCAAGUCCUCAUGGCCCUUAUGGGUAGGGCUUCACACGUAAUACAAUGGCGCGUACAGAGGGUUGCCAAGGAGCGAUCUGGAGCCAAUCCCGUAAAGCGCGUCGUAGUCCGGAUUGCAGUCUGCAACUCG
rnacentral:rRNA from 1 species